rnacentral:rRNA from 1 species
UGGGGAAUAUUGGACAAUGGGGGAAACCCUGAUCCAGCAAUGCCGCGUGGAUGAUGAAGGCCUUCGGGUUGUAAAGUCCUUUUGGCGGGGACGAUGAUGACGGUACCCGCCGAAUAAGCUCCGGCUAACUUCGUGCCAGCAGCCGCGGUAAUACGAAGGGAGCUAGCGUUGUUCGGAAUUACUGGGCGUAAAGGGCGCGUAGGCGGCUUCGAUAGUUGGGCGUGAAAUGCCUGGGCUUAACCCAGGAAUUGCGCUCAAUACUUCGAGGCUUGAGUGUGGGAGAGGAUAGUGGAAUUCCCAGUGUAGAGGUGAAAUUCGUAGAUAUUGGGAAGAACACCAGCGGCGAAGGCGGCUAUCUGGACCACAACUGACGCUGAGGCGCGAAAGCGUGGGGAGCAAACAGGAUUAGAUACCCCCGUAGUCC